rnacentral:tRNA from 3 species
GGCUGCGUAGCUCAGUUGGCUAGAGCAUUCGGUUCAUACCCGGAGUGUCAGGAGUUCAAAUCUCUUCGCAGCCACCA